AUUGAACGCUGGCGGCAUGCUUUACACAUGCAAGUCGAACGGCAGCGCGGGCUUCGGCCUGGCGGCGAGUGGCGCACGGGUGAGUAAUGCAUCGGAACGUGCCCAGUAGUGGGGGAUAGCCCGGCGAAAGCCGGAUUGAUACCGCAGACGACCUGAGGCUGAAAGCGGGGGAGCGAAAGGCCGCGCGCUCGUGGAGCGACCGAGGUCGGAUUAGCUAGUUGGUGGGGUAAAGGCUUACCAAGGCGACGAUCCGUAGCUGGUCUGAGAGGACGACCAGCCACACUGGGACGGAGACACGGCCCAGAGUACUACGGGAGGCAGCAGUGGGGAAUUUUAGACAGUGGGGGCAACCCUGAUCCAGCCAUGCCGCGUGCGGGAAGAAGGCCUUCGGGUUGUGAACCGGUUUUGUUCGGGAAGAAAUCCUCUGGGCUAAUACCCCGGGGGGAUGACGGUACCGGAAGAAUAAGCACCGGCUAACUACGUG
rnacentral:rRNA from 1 species